rnacentral:lncRNA from 1 species
CUUAGGACUAUUUAAGUUCGAUAAAGAGAGGAUUUAUCGAUUAGUCCUUAAAACUAUUCACGACCAAAUGAUAGGCUGUUAAUAAGGACGACAGCUUCUAUCGAGCAUAGGUCGCUGUAGGCCAUAUGGGUUGGUUGUCUUCUUAAUCAAAGAGUGUGGAGACACUGGUAUGGCAUACAGGUGAGAUGUAAGGGUACAUCAUCAUUGAACGUGACCAACUCCAGAGCAUUCUGCUGUCGAGAAUGUCUCUGAUGGGAUAUAGGUAUAAGUGUCCCUUAGACUUGAGAUCACCUCAGUGACUUGCAAGCAACUCACUGUGCUUUGGUACUGGACUAACUGAAUUUCUAAUUAAG